CUCAAUAGCAAAAACCCCCAAAUAACCCAAUUAAAAAAAAAAAACAAUUGGGCAGAAGACCUAAAUAGACAUUUCUCCAAAGAAGACACACAGAUGGUCAAAAGGCAUGUGAAAAGGAAUACUCAACAUUGCUAAUUAUUAGCAACAUGCAAAUCAAAACUAUAAUGAGGUAUCACCCCACACCAGUCAGAAUGACCAU